UGGAGCGCGAUGUCAUCCUUCGGUCCCUCGUUGCCGGCUGACCUGAACUGAUGUCUACUCUGUUGACGUUUCGUCCCUAAGCUUUGUGUUUUCUGGCUGACCAGCCGUGAGGUUUUCAUGAGCAGCUUAUUGGCCUGGUGUAGACCCGCCGUGUUAACCACACAAAAUAAGGUUUUCUUGUCCCGGGAUAACGUGUUUCUCUAAUUGUACGAUCCUUAAAUUUAGAGCAAUCGCAGGCGCUGGCUCAGUCAAUAAAGGAUCCGGGCCCAACACGCACAUUCACAGUAGUUCCCAGGGCAGCAGCAAAUUUCCUCUACUGCUAAAACCCUGUUCCUGAUGUUGGAAUAUUAAAGGCUCCCUCAGGACUGUGGAAAUGGAAGGAUUACAGCGGGACUGAUGGAGACUUGAAAUCUAGAUCUGGUUUUGCUACUGGGAUCUUGAACAAAUUAUUUAUCCUCUUUGGACCUUGGUCCUCAUCUUUAAAGCGAAAGUACUGAAAUCCCACCUUAUGUGAUGAAGUGUCCGAGCAAUGGUUUGUGUAGCAGGCUUCCUGCAGACUGUAUAGACUGCACAACAAAU
rnacentral:lncRNA from 10 species